GUGGGGAAUCUUGCGCAAUGGGCGAAAGCCUGACGCAGCCAUGCCGCGUGAAUGAUGAAGGUCUUAGGAUUGUAAAAUUCUUUCACCGGGGACGAUAAUGACGGUACCCGGAGAAGAAGCUCCGGCUAACUUCGUGCCAGCAGCCGCGGUAAUACGAAGGGGGCUAGCGUUGCUCGGAAUUACUGGGCGUAAAGGGCGCGUAGGCGGACAGCUUAGUCAGAGGUGAAAGCCCAGGGCUCAACCUUGGAAUUGCUUUUGAUACUGGCUGUCUUGAGUUUGGGAGAGGUGAGGGGAACUCCGAGUGUAGAGGUGAAAUUCGUAGAUAUUCGGAAGAACACCAGUGGCGAAGGCGACUCACUGGCCCAAUACUGACGCUGAGGCGCGAAAGCGUGGGGAGCAAACAGGAUUAGAUACCCGGGUAGUCC
rnacentral:rRNA from 1 species